rnacentral:lncRNA from 1 species
CUUACAUUCAUUUUAUUUGAGUUCCUUCUUCAGGAAAGAACCCCCAGACCUCUCAAAAAGUAUCAAAGAACUGAAACUCACCAGGUAACCACCUCCAGACAAUGAGACCAGACCCCUUAUUCAUUCUGAUUGCUUCUUUCCCUUUCUGAGUUCCUGUUGUCCUAUACACGGUUACGUUUCUUCCUUGCUAGAUAAACCCCUAGUUUUAGUCAGUCAGGGAGAUGGAUUUGAGACAGAGCUCCCCUCUCCUCGGCUGCAACACCCAGUUACAGCUUUCUUCCUCAGCAAUACUUGUCAUCUCAGUGAUUGGCUUUCUGUGCAGAGAGCCGCAGGAUCUAGAUGUUUCCGUAACAGAUAUAUGGGGCACGGAGGAUUCUUAGGGCAGUGUUUCCGUAACAGAUAUAUGGGGCACGGAGGAUUCUUAGGGCAGUGAAACAAUUCUGUAUGAUGCAAAAACGGUGGGGACAAGUCAUUAUACAUUUGUCCAAACCCACAGAAUGUACGACACCAGGAGUGAAUUCCAUUCAAUUCCACUUAAUUUUUCUGGAAACCCAAAACUGCUUUUUUUUUUUUUUUUUUUUUUUUUUUUUUUGGAGACAGAGUCUCACUCUGUCACCCAGGCUGGAGUACAGUGGCACGAUCUUGGCUCACUGCUGCAACCUCUGACUUCCAGGUUCAGGUGAUUCUCCUGCUUCCACCACCAGAGUCCUGCCUCCACCACCAGAGUAGCUGGGAUUACAGGUAUGCGUCUCCACGCCCGGCUAAUUUUUCUGUUUUAGUAGAGAUGAGAUUUCACCAUGUUGGCCAGGCUGGUCUCGAACUCCUGGCCUCAAGUAUUUUGCCCGUCUCAGCCUUCCAAAGUGCUGGGAUUACAGGCAUGAGCCACCACGCCCCGCCAUCAAAAUUGCUUUUUAAAAGUGUGUUAAAUUCAAAAAAAGAAGCUAGAGGAAAGAGGGCAGAGGGUGGCAUUCAGGCAGCAGAAGGGCUGUCCUCAUGGUCCUUGUGGUGAGGGGAUGACCUCCUGCUGAAGGCCAGUCCACUGAGCUGGCACCCACAGAGGGGGACCUGGACUGUUUGCAGCUGAACAGCCUGUAGCCAGGGCUAUCAGAAGGCAGGGAGACCUGGAGUGCAUUGACAGUCACCACACAGGUUUCCAGGAACCUUCCCUCCCUUCCCUGAGUCAGCAUUCAUGCAUACAUUCCUUCCCUUAUUCAUUCAAAAUGUUUCUGGCCAGCCUACCAGGCACCCAGCACAUCAGACCUCUGAUCAUUUGCUCAUAGACUCAUUCAUUCAUUCACUUAAUCACUGUCUCUGUCUAGGCAGAAAGCAAACAUCUAGUCCUGCCAGCCCUAGACAGAAUGAUUUCAAACCCUAAUUAGUACUGUGGGGCUUAAUGAGGUUUCCUGGGAUUCUCAUUAUCAGGGAAAUCAUUUCACAAAAGCUGUCCAUGAUACAGUGGGCAGGGGCACCUCAUGCCAGUAAGGAGCCUCUUCCUGAGAUGAGCAACCGAGGAAACACCAAUUAAGCAAGGAAGCUGUGGAAGGGGAUGCCCCGGGCUUCCCAGAGUGCAGAGCAUGGAUGCUUAGCUGAGGGGUGGGGCUGGAACCUGGCUGCCAAAGCAGUUCUGCCAGCAGGAGCAGGGAUGGCCAGGCAGCAGCACAGGUCACUGCCCCGCAUGGUCAACAUGCAUUGCGGAUUUUAGCUUGCGUUUACGGAUGGCUUCUAGCUACAAAAGACACAGUGGCGCUCAGUUGCUCACCUGUGUAUUUUAAGUAACUAAUUCCUAUUCACACACUCAUUCAUUUAGCCAUUCAUGCAGGUUUCAGAUGUUUAAUGAGCAUCUACUAUGUGCCAAGCAGCUUCAUAAUAAACACACACUUAUUCAUAAAUCCAUGCAUCUGUAGACUUCAGAUGUUCAAAUGUUCAUAGAUGGCUUGGGGCUUGCAGGGACAGAUCUUCCAGUGUCACCAGGAGCCUCUGGGAUAGGCGGGAAACGCUUCCUACAGGGGGUGGGGCGGGGGGCGCAUUUGAGCUCCAUGUGGGGAAGGCCCAGGGCAACUCUAAGCUGAGUGCAGAGUCCCAGGUCCCGAAAAUAGUGAGGCUUCCAGGUCACGAGGUUACACCAGCAUCCAUGACGUCAGCAGGCCAGCGGCGGGCCCUUAGCCAUGGAGGUUCAGAUCGUGUGGGUUGUGGGUCCCACGGUCCCAGAGUCAGCCGGGCGCCCAUUGGCUUGGCCUCAGGAUGCCCAGGGACAUGCCUGGUGCAGCUGGGGCAGCAGGAGCUCACUCUACCAUGAAAUAUUCAUGGCUGCUGGCAAAGCCCGGCCCUAAAAUAUAGUUUGCAGAAGAAAAAGAGCCAUCAGGCAUUUAAUCAUUGUGUUAAUGAGGCUCUAUUUGGAAGCAAACUCCAUCUGACUGCGUCCUAGACAGCAAGAGUCAGGGCCCGGCCAACCUGUGUUGCCGGCCGCAGGGGCAGCCUCAUCCCUGAGACACCAGUGGGAGACACGCCCGGGCAAGGCACAGGCUUGGCUCGAGGCCAUGGCCAGCGGCCCUCCACUUCAGGGGAGCCCAUGAGAUUAUAACGGCAUCCUGAGGUUUGCCAAAAAGCAUCCUUUUAAGCAGAAAGCAAGCAACGGCCCUGCAUGGAGGCGCCACAGAUCCAGUCUGGCUGAGCAGGGGCUAGACCAACUCGUUUUCCCUAAGCAGCUUCCUCGGGGGAACCACUACCCCUCCUGCCUCCAGCUCCCCCUGCUGCCCAGGCCGCCGCCACAGACACUGCAAAUUACCAUCCAGACAAGAUUGCCGGGCCCUUUACAAAGCCUGAAGCAGCUCCUGCAGCCGCCGUCAGCGUCAGCAGCCGCCCUUCUUCGCCAGGUGUGCUGAUUGCAAGUCUCUCUGUGCGGCAGGAGGGGACGUCUCCAAAGGGCAGGCGUCCAGUGGCAGCACCGCAGGCCUGUGGGUGUUCCACCUGCAGAGGCCCCAGAGCAGCCCACGGAGGGCCACGGUGGUAUUAUUCCCAUUUCACAGGGAAGAAGCAAGGUCAGAGCUCUUCCCAGAUGGCUCACGCCAGGCCCAUGCUGCCCGCCCUUACCCGCUCCUCCCGUCCGGCGCUUGAGAGACGUGGUGUCUGGAAAGUCUGUCCCAUCCCAGCUUCCACAACACCCACUGAGACCCACGCCAACGCGCCCCGCCCACGAGAACCCAGGUCACUCCCGCUUGGUGACUGCGGAAGAACUUUCCGGGUGUCACGUUGGUCCAGUCCCAGCCCACCCCCAUGCACGGGACGCAGGAGCUCUGGGUGCCCACCACUCCAUGAAGGGUGAUUGUGGUGAUGUAUUUGACCUUCUGGCAGCAAUUUAAUCAAAUCUGGAAAUCUGGGCCGGCACCUGGUUCGGGACUCAUCCCCUGUUGCUAGGAAACCCAACUCCUGCGGAUCCCACCCUGCUCCAUCCGGAGACAGUGGGAGAGACCCUCCUGCAGCUGAGGCCAGGGCUGGGGAAUGGCUGGAGAUGGAUGGGGACAGCAGUGGCCUUUGCACUGGCUGACUUCACAGCAGAACUCCCACGAGUGCCGAGAAACAGCGUGUAGGGGCGCUGCUCUCCCUACAAGCCCUUCCAGGCGCUGCAGGUCACUUAGAAGCUUGUGGCGCAUCCCUCGGUACCUCUCUCUGCCUGCGCACCAUAAACACCCAGACUACAGGGCCAUACCUGUCUCUUCUUGGUCUCCCCAGCAUCCUGCAGAUUAGUGGCCCUUCAGACACUUUGCACCCCAGUAGGGGGUGGGGAGGCUGGUGGAAAGUGAGCCCUGUGGCUCCUGGAGAAGCGGCGAGCAGCAGGCAGUGUUACACAAGGGUCCUCCCAACCCAGCUGACCUCACCAGGUCAUUCAUGCAAGAAUGCGGGGCCAAUGGGUUUCUGCCAGGCGUGCCAGGGCUGAGGGCACCCCUGGGUCCUCACAGCCCCCACUGUCCAGGGACAGCAGAGUCCUCCUUCCCUUUGCCAUUUCCAUGUUUCUCAUUUCAAUAAUUCUUGCAGCCCAUGUUGUGUAAAUAAAAUUAUUCUUCCCAAAAAAAUCGUUAGCAGAGCCCGACAUUAAUUCCCCUGCAAUCUGUGUAAUUAACUGCAUGUAAUAUAGGGCAUUAAAGGACCGGUUUGCUAAUCACCACUCCUCCGCUCCACGCACCUAAUUAAAUCUCCUUCCUGUUUAUCCACUUACAGGAUCCUCUGCAAAGAUACCAGGCACCAGGAACACUGUUGUAAUAAAUCUUUGCGUAAUUUUAGAGGGUGCAGUCCCACUCUGUUUCAUUCCCACUGCUGAGCCCCUCCUCCCUGCAGCCACGUCUCCCCAUGACUCGGC